rnacentral:rRNA from 1 species
UGGGGAAUUUUGGGCAAUGGGGGAAACCCUGACCCAGCAACGCCGCGUGAAGGAUGAAGUAUUUCGGUAUGUAAACUUCGAAAGAAUAGGAAGAAUAAAUGACGGUACUAUUUAUAAGGUCCGGCUAACUACGUGCCAGCAGCCGCGGUAGUACGUAGGGACCAAGCGUUGUUCGGAUUUACUGGGCGUAAAGGGCGCGUAGGCGGCAUGACAAGUCACUUGUGAAAUCUCUGGGCUUAACCCAGAACGGCCAAGUGAUACUGUCGCGCUAGAGUGCAGAAGGGGCAAUCGGAAUUCUUGGUGUAGCGGUGAAAUGCGUAGAUAUCAAGAGGAACACCUGAGGUGAAGACGGGUUGCUGGGCUGACACUGACGCUGAGGCGCGAAAGCCAGGGGAGCAAACGGGAUUAGAUACCCCAGUAGUCCCUGAGCGGGCUGGCAAGGCGCAU